UAUUUAAUAUUAAUUUAUUAAUUAUAGUUAUAAGAAAUUUAAAAUAGUUUAAAGUAUAGCAGUAGAAAUAAAUAAAUAAUAAAAAGUAAGUAUAU
rnacentral:rRNA from 1 species